AGUGAACGCUGGCGGCAGGCCUAACACAUGCAAGUCGAACGGAAGAACAGUGCUUGCUUGUGGUUACAGCGGGGGACGGGUGGGUAGGGCCGAGGAAUAUCCGUGUCUACUGUUUAGAACGGCCUGACGCAGGCGCUAAUACGCCAUUAGCGCAGACGGAGUAAGGGGGGGAGCUUCGGACCUUACGCUCUCGGGUGAGCCUAGGUCGGAUUGGCUAGUUGGUGGGGUAAAGGCCUACCAAGGCGACGAUCCGUAACUGGUCUGAGAGGAUGAUCAGCCACACUGGAACUGAGACACGGUCCAGACUCCUACGGGAGGCAGCAGUGGGGAAUAUUGGACAAUGGGCGAAAGCCUGAUCCAGCCAUGCCGCGUGUGUGAAGAAGGCCUUCGGGUUGUAAAGCCCUUUUGGUUGGGAGGAAGGGCAGUAGGUUAAUACCUUGCUGUUUUGACGUUACCCACAGAAUAAGCACCGGCUAACUUCGUG
rnacentral:rRNA from 1 species